rnacentral:pre_miRNA from 9 species
UCUCGAUAGCGUAAAAGUUAACUCUAAUUUGUAUGGAGUUGAAACGUUUGCCUGCGUUUGCCGCUAGGGGCGCUGUUCCAACUCCAUACAAAUUAGAGUUAACUUUUACUCGAGUUA